GUGAGGAACACGUGAGAAACCUGCCCCAGACUUUGGGAUAACAAAUGGAAACGUUUGCUAAUACCAAAUAACGUCGGAGAGUCACAUGACUUUCUGACGAAAGGAAUUCCGAUUCGAGAGGGUCUCGCGGCCUAUCAGCUUGUUGGUGGGGUAAUGGCCUACCAAGGCAACGACGGAUAGCUGGUCUGAGAGGAUGAUCAGCCACACUGGGACUGAGACACGGCCCAGACUCC
rnacentral:rRNA from 1 species